AGCCUCUGGCAAUGGACAAAGAGACACCUUGUUGGUAUUGGUGUUCUUAUAUCAGUCAGGGGCAGAGCAGAUGGGAGUCCUUUGUUUAUCCUAGCUGGAUGCCUGGCUCAGUGGCCAAAACUGUCCUAUGCCUAGGACUUAUAA